AGUGAACGCUGGCGGUAGGCCUAACACAUGCAAGUCGAACGGUAGCACAGUAAGAGCUUGUUCUUACGGGUGGCGAGUGGCGGACGGCUGCGGAAUAUAUCGGAAUCUACUUUUUCGUGGGGGAUAACGUAGGGAAACUUACGCUAAUACCGCAUACGACCUACGGGUGACAGCAGGGGAUCUUCGGACCUUGCGCGAUUGAAUGAGCCGAUGUCGGAUUAGCUAGUUGGCGGGGUAAAGGCCCACCAAGGCGACGAUCCGUAGCUGGUCUGAGAGGAUGAUCAGCCACACUGGAACUGAGACACGGUCCAGACUCCUACGGGAGGCAGCAGUGGGGAAUAUUGGACAAUGGGCGCAAGCCUGAUCCAGCCAUACCGCGUGGGUGAAGAAGGCCUUCGGGUUGUAAAGCCCUUUUGUUGGGAAAGAAAAGCAGCAGGUUAAUACCCCGCUGUUCUGACGGUACCCAAAGAAUAAGCACCGGCUAACUUCGUG
rnacentral:rRNA from 1 species